GAAGAUCCCAAGCAAGCUCUGUGCUGAUUGCCUGACGUGGGGCUCACACUCACCCCAAGAUCAUGACCCAAGGCGAAGUUGGAUGCAUAACCAACUGAGCCACACAGGCUCCCCUUUUUGGUCACAACUUUUGAGUAACUUGCCUUGUUUGUUUUCUUUGAGGGCACAUCCUUUGCUUGCUGAUAUUUCAUCCAUGAUUCUGACCCACCUGUAGAAAGCAUUAAAAAAUCCAUAGAUAAAUGAGGGGAAUAUUAUAGGUUAUGGAUCUUUGUAGUGCUUUAUCUCUCACAGAAAUUUUUUUCAAAGGAAACUUCUGAGUAUUCCCUGCAGAAUAAUUGUCUUGGUUCAGUGAAGCAAUGAAAAACAGGCGAUGAGAAUGCCUAAGAAGAAUAUCAAUACCAAUAACAUCAUUUGAACACUUUCUCUAAGAUGUCUACAGGGAAUGACACAAAUAUAUCUAUGAUACUACCACUGUCCUCAAGAUGAUUAUAUUCUGGACCAGAGACUUAAGCAUAUCUGUCUCAAAGCCUUGGAUGAAUGGUUUACGACAGAAGUAUACCUAGGACAGUUCCCUUGUACAAGAUCAGAGAAAUACUGUUGGUAAGGUUACUUCAUUCAUAUUUUUUAAGAUAAUUUCACUCAGAGUAAUUG